rnacentral:rRNA from 1 species
CCCUUAGAUGUUCUGGGCCGCACGCGUGCUACACUGAGUGGAUCAGCGGGUCAGGUUGCGCGAAAGUGUUUCCUAAUCUUGAAAUCCGCUCGUGAUGGGGAUUGACGGUUGCAAUUUUCCGUCAUGAACGAGGAAUACCUUGUAAGCGCGGGUCAUCAUCCCGCGCUGAAUACGUCCCUGCCCUUUGUACACACCGCCCGUCGCUCCUACCGAUUGAGUGGUCCGGUGAGGCUUUGGGAUCUGAGCGGAAAGAGCGUUUCGCUGUUUCUGCUCGGAAAACUCAGUCGAACCUUAUCAUUUAGAGGAAGAAGAAGUCGUAACA